UUCUCGGUGGCCUAAUGGUUAGAUCGUUCGCCUUGGAUGCGGGUGGUCGUGGGUUGGAUCUCCGGCCGAGUAA